rfam:Xylona heveae TC161 unplaced genomic scaffold L228scaffold_1, whole genome shotgun sequence.
GGUCGCGUGGCCUAAUGGUAAGGCGUUGCUUUCCGGUUCUUCUAUCGGAUAAGUCAUUUCCAAGUCUGGCAAAGAUUCUGGGUUCGAGUCCCAGCGUGAUCG